CCUACGGGUGGCAGCAGUGAGGAAUAUUGGUCAAUGGGCGAGAGCCUGAACCAGCCAAGUCGCGUGAGGGAGUACUGCCCUAUGGGUUGUAAACCUCUUUUGUCGGGGAGCAAAAGCCGGACGUGUCCGGCUGUGAGAGUACCCGAAGAAAAAGCAUCGGCUAACUCCGUGCCAGCAGCCGCGGUAAUACGGAGGAUGCGAGCGUUAUCCGGAUUUAUUGGGUUUAAAGGGUGCGCAGGCGGAUUUUUAAGUCAGCGGUAAAAUCGUGGGGUUCAACCCCAUCCAGCCGUUGAAACUGGGGAUCUAGAGUGUGCGAGAGGUAUGCGGAAUGCGUGGUGUAGCGGUGAAAUGCAUAGAUAUCACGCAGAACCCCGAUUGCGAAGGCAGCAUACCGGUGCACAACUGACGCUCAGGCACGAAAGCGUGGGUAUCGAACAGGAUUAGAUACCCCAGUAGUC
rnacentral:rRNA from 1 species